AACGAACGCUGGCGGCAUGCCUAACACAUGCAAGUCGAACGAGAUCUUCGGGUCUAGUGGCGCACGGGUGCGUAGCGCGUGGGAAUCUGCCCUUUGGUUCGGAAUAACAGUUGGAACGACUGCUAAUACCGGAUGAUGACGAAAGUCCAAAGAUUUAUCGCCAGAGGAUGAGCCCGCGUAGGAUUAGCUAGUUGGUGUGGUAAAGGCGCACCAAGGCGACGAUCCUUAGCUGGUCUGAGAGGAUGAUCAGCCACACUGGGACUGAGACACGGCCCAGACUCCUACGGGAGGCAGCAGUGGGGAAUAUUGGACAAUGGGCGAAAGCCUGAUCCAGCAAUGCCGCGUGAGUGAUGAAGGCCUUAGGGUUGUAAAGCUCUCUUACCCGGGAUGAUAAUGACAGUACCGGGAGAAUAAGCUCCGGCUAACUCCGUGCCAGCCGCCGCCGUAA
rnacentral:rRNA from 1 species